GGUCCGUCGUACAGUUGGUAGGACACGAGCAUUUAUUCGAGCGAUAUGCUCGCCUCAAUCUCGAGACGCCGAGUUCGACUCUCGGCCGGACCGCCA
rnacentral:tRNA from 1 species